UUGCAAUCAUAACAAUCCAGGAAAUUGUGAUUCUGAAAAUCCACAACAUAAAUUUCAUAAUAUAAAAAAAGAAACUGGAGCUGCUACUGGUUGCCCUAAUACUAAAUAGGCAGAAAAGAAAGUACUUUCUAAUAGGAGGUGGAAUGACUUGUACCCAUUUCUGAGUUUGGAUUACAUUGACUACAUGUUGCAAGAAUGCUUUGGCACUCAGCAUCUCUGGUGUCCCA